AUGCAGGCCCCGCUCCGUCCGGCCCACCCCGUGCCGGGCUUCGCCGACUCCCGCCUCCCCUCUACCAACGACGGCCAGGGCCGCCUCUUCUACCCCGGCUGCAUCCCCCUCUCCUUCUCCCCGAGCCCCAGGCCGUCGCCGCUCGCCACCCCCUUCACCCCGAGCCCCAGAUCGCCCACCUCCUCCUCCUCCUCCUCCGGCACCCUCCUCGACGACGCCGGUGGCGACGAUGCGGUCGCGACGGAGCACCGCGCCGUGCUCCACUACAAGACGGCGCGCAACGACCACCACGACCGCUGCGUCGCCCUCCUCACCGACGCCGCGCGCGAGGCCGACGCGCUCCGCCUGCAAAAUGAGAAGCUCCGCGAGGUCAACUGCGACCUGGCCUGCCGCUUCGCCAGGCUCGGCAACGACCAGGCCGCCUCAAGCCUCCUCCUGCUCGGGCAGAUGCCGGCCACCCCGGCGGGGAAGCACGCCCGGAUGCCCAAGAGCAUCUCCAUCCGCCGGUCGACUGGGAGCGGCGGCGGCCACGCCAAGGGUCUGCUCACCAACGACAUCGUCACGGAGAGCGCCAAGGCAGAGGAGCACCGGGUCAGCACCAAGGCAGAGGAGCACCACGUCGGCCUUGCCAAGGCGGAGGGGCACCACGUCGGCGCCAAGGCCGAGGAGAGCGGCAAGGUGCGCAAGGCCGCCGCCGAACUCAACGUCUACACCCAGGGCACGUACAAAACAGAGCUGUGCCGCAAUUGGGAGAGCACAGGAGUGUGCCCCUACGAUGACAAUUGCCGGUUCGAUACUGAGCUCCGCCCAGUCAGCCGCCACCCGCGCUACAAGACCCAGGCAUGCCGCCUGUUCGCCAGCGGCCUCUGCAUUUACGGGCACCGCUGCCACUUUUGCCACUCCGGCCGCCCGUGA
rnacentral:rRNA from 1 species